rnacentral:rRNA from 1 species
AAGCCCUUCGGGGUGAGUACAGUGGCGAACGGGUGAGUAACACGUGGGCAACCUGCCCCUCGCAGGGGGACAACCGGAGGAAACUCCGGCUAAUACCCCGUAMGCUUGUUGGGUCGCAUGGCUYGGCAAGGAAAGGUAGCUUCGGCCAUCCGGCGAGGGAUGGGCCCGCGCUGCAUUAGCUAGUUGGUGGGGUAACGGCCCACCAAGGCGACGAUGCGUAGCUGGUCUGAGAGGAUGAUCAGCCACACUGGGACUGAGACACGGCCCAGACUCCUACGGGAGGCAGCAGCCAGGAAUCUUGGGCAAUGGGCGCAAGCCUGACCCAGCAACACCGUGUGGGCGACGAAGGCUCUAGGGUCGUAAAGCCCUGUUGAUAGGGACGAAGGGCGAAGGGUUAAUAGCCCCUAGC